GACGAACGCUGGCGGCGUGCUUAACACAUGCAAGUCGUACGGUAAGGCCCUUUCGGGGGUCCACGAGUGGCGAACGGGUGAGUAACACGUGAGUAACCUGCCCACAACUUUGGGAUAACGCUAGGAAACUGGUGCUAAUACUGGAUAUGUGCUCCUGCUGCAUGGUGGGGGUUGGAAAGCUCCGGCGGUUGUGGAUGGACUCGCGGCCUAUCAGCUUGUUGGUGGGGUAGUGGCCUACCAAGGCGGCGGCGGGUAGCCGGCCUGAGAGGGUGACCGGCCACAUUGGGACUGAGAUACGGCCCAGACUCCGACGGGAGGCAGCAGUGGGGAAUAUUGCAAAAUGGGCGCAAGCCUGAUGCAGAAACGCCGAGUGCGGGAUGACGGCCUUCGGGUUGUAAACCGCUUUCAGCAGGGACGAAGCUUUUUGUGACGGUACCUGCAGAAGAAGCACCGGCUAACUACGUG
rnacentral:rRNA from 1 species